rnacentral:rRNA from 1 species
GAUGAACGCUGGCGGCGUGCCUAAUACAUGCAAGUCGAGCGAACAGACGAGGAGCUUGCUCCUCUGACGUUAGCGGCGGACGGGUGAGUAACACGUGGAUAACCUACCUAUAAGACUGGGAUAACUUCGGGAAACCGGAGCUAAUACCGGAUAAUAUAUUGAACCGCAUGGUUCAAUAGUGAAGGACGGUUUUGCUGUCACUUAUAGAUGGAUCCGCGCCGCAUUAGCUAGUUGGUAGGGUAACGGCUUACCAAGGCAACGAUGCGUAGCCGACCUGAGAGGGUGAUCGGCCACACUGGAACUGAGACACGGUCCAGACUCCUACGGGAGGCAGCAGUAGGGAAUCUUCCGCAAUGGGCGAAAGCCUGACGGAGCAACGCCGCGUGAGUGAUGAAGGUCUUCGGAUCGUAAAACUCUGUUAUUAGGGAAGAACAAAUGUGUAAGUAACUAUGCACGUCUUGACGGUACCUAAUCAGAAAGCCACGGCUAACUACGUG